CGCACGGGUACCACUUAGGUCUCUUCAGAAUACGGACUGAAUUUAACUUCGCUUGGUUGAUGAUAUGUGUUCAAGUUGUGCGUUAAUGACAACAUACCACACCUGCCUAAUCCUGUAUAGUUACCUCACAUAUCAUUAUUGUGAAGAUAAUGCCAAGCAAUGCCCUGUGGUCUGGCUGUGCUGUGCUGUGCAUCGUGCUGAUCAUUUGCAGAACUUUAAUUAAAGACUGUUGAUUUGGAUUCAUGCCUCCUGUGUUCUGACCGACACACCAGGGCGAACACAACUACCCUAAACCAUUCCAAUACAGUCCUACGCGAACUCAGAAACACCGCAUAUCACAAGAACAAUAUCACAGACUGUGUUUCUGGCUAUUUUUGUGUUUUGAUUUUUUUCUUUUGAAAAUUAAACUAACUGACUGUAAAUUACCUGUAGAUCCCCAGUGCACCACUUUUAAAGCAAAACUCUCAAUAUAAUCUGAAUCCAUUUUUAUCUUCUGUUAAAUAUGAAGACAGCGUAUGGAAGGUUCUGAGCAGCAUCUGUUGCGUCAGUGUUGCUGGGGACGAAUGAUUCACAUGAGCCUGCAAAUGACCGCAACUGCCCUGCAUCUAUCAGAAUGAUCUGAAACAUCCAGAGGCAUCUCUUCACAGACGGCUCAGGGACACGCUGAAAUAAGAUACAGGGAAAUGUCAGAGAACGCUGCUUUAUAAUAAGGUUUUGUGAGGCUGGAAGAGAAAUAAAGACUACGAGACGGUGGUCGUGAGACAUAUUCCCCUGGCUCUCACAGAAGCUCUUUGACAGCUCAGACCAGCAGGCCUGUUCCUGAUGAAUGUGUGACCUUUACAACCCGCUCUGACAUUAGUUGUUGAUUAAGGCUUUUUUGUGCUUCCGGCUUUUGUAAGAUGCCACAUAUAUCUGGUUCUUUGCAUGACUCAAACAUUCUGUCGGUUUGUUUUAACUUUGAGGCCGUCUCUUUGAUAUGGCCGUGGCAUGGGAUACUGCAGAUACUGCAGCCAGUUGCAAAAUAAUGAGGCUUAGAUUUCACAUCGGUGUAAUUUAUGAGACACAACAGCCUUUGGGUGUUUUUUUUCUUUUUUUUUUUUUUUUUUUUUUUUUUUUCACAAA